rnacentral:lncRNA from 1 species
CAUACUGUCAUUUAAAUUCCAGGUGCAGGUCUUCUGAACAAAUGCCUCCUGAGGAUUUCUGUGCCUGGAAAAUAUCUGUUAACAGACUGCUUUUACACCUACCUACCAUACUGGGAACUGCCCAAUGGAGAGGCCCACAUUCCACAAGGAACUGAUGUCUUCAGCCAAUACCUCGCCAGGACCUGAGGCCUGCUGAGAGUCACGAGUGGCCUUCGUGGGUCCUCUCUCAACGAGCUUGCAGGUGACCACUGCGCCAGCCAAAACCUUGAUGGCAGCCUAUGAGUGAGUGACCCUGAGCCAGAAGACCCAGUUAAGCCAUGCCCAGGAUCCUGACCUGCAGAAACUAUGACAUAAUAAAUUUAUUGUUUUAUGCCA